rnacentral:rRNA from 1 species
AUUGAACGCUGGCGGCAGGCCUAACACAUGCAAGUCGAGCGGAUGAAGGGAUCUUGCUCCUGGAUUCAGCGGCGGACUGGUGAGUAAUGCCUAGUCAUCUGCCUGGUAGUGGGUUAUAACGUCCGUAAACGGGCGCUAAUACCUCAUACGUCCUUCUGUCGAAAGUGUGGGAUCUUCGGACCUCACGCUAUCAUAUGAGCCUAGGUCGGAUUAGCUAGUUGGUGGGGUAAAGGCCUACCAAGGCGACGAUCCGUAACUGGUCUGAGAGGAUGAUCAGUCACACUGGAACUGAGACACGGUCCAGAAUCCUACGGGAGGAAGCAGUGGGGAAUAUUGGACAAGGGGAGAAAGAAGGAUAAAGAAAUGACGAGUGGGGGAAGAAGGGAUUCGGAUUGUAAAGCACUUUAAGUUGGGAGGAAGGGAAGGAAGUUAAUACCUUGCGGGGUUGACGUUACCAACAGAAGAAGCACCGGCUAACUUCGUG